AGACAGUUAAAAAGUCAUCGGAAAUUGCCAGACAUAAAAGUAUGUUAAAAAAAUUCAUUGUCGUGAAGUUCACAAAGAGCCAUGGCCAACACCCCUCGUCUUUUGUUGGUUAAUCAUUUAAUCAUAUGGAUUCUAAGGGACGAUGGUAUUGACAAAUAAGUUAACAAGUAGAGGAUUUGUUUUUUCUUUUACUUGACAUUAUGGAACCAAUAUGAAAUGUUCAUACCUCUGAGUCGUUGAUCUGUACAAGCUAAAAGAAUUGUCAUGUGUGAGUGAUCUCUCAGGUGUUAUUUUCACAACUGCACUUUGUAGAGUGUACAAGCAAGCAUAGAUGAAAGGAUGUCAAAAAUAGAUCAUGUGGGAGUGUAGGUAACAGCAAGAAUGGGAAAAAAGUGCAUUAUUUUAGAUUGCAAUGGAUCGAGGGAAAAGGUUGCACCAGUUUGGAGAGAAAAUUCAGAAUUUAAAAUCAUUGUUGAUGCUUUAGUAGCUCGGCCAAAUGACAAACUUGUUCAUUUGAGUCUCUGAUCUGGUUGUGUUUUUAUUUUGAAUGAGGGUUGUACUUGUUCGUUUGAAACAUGUACUUUAGUUUUAAUAAUCAAUGAUCAGAUUUAUAAAUAUUUGUUGA